rnacentral:lncRNA from 1 species
AUGCAGGAACAGAGACCUAUGGAGCUGAUUGACUCACCCAAAGCCCUGGAGCUAGUAAUUCAUGAAGGUGGUACUCAAAUCUUGCAUUCCGACUCUUGGACCAGGAAAUUUCUCUCCACACCCUACUGCUUCUGAAGAUUAAUUUGCAGUUAUAUGAAGACAUUUCUCUUCAGCCAUAUGACAUCAUGGGAAAAAUCUGGUCAGAGGAACCACGUUUGAGAAGAUCUUGCCCAAGUCCCUUGAAGAUGAUCAGAGCCUAAUUUUCCAAUCUGUAAAUUGGGGAUCAAAACCACCUUCCUCACAAGAAAGCAGAGUGGAAUACGUUAUAUUCAAGACCACCACUAGUGCAAAUUUUUCCCAGGGUAGUUUGAAUUCGGUGGAUCAUUCAACGUGGCCUCUUACUAGCAACAUUAGCAGUGGAUUUUGUACAUUUAGAUGCCAUGAUGAACAAACCAACAUGAGAUUAAAUCAAGCACAAGAGAAACUGAUGCAAUCAAGAGAUGGAGUAAACACAAGCUGUAUGAGGCUGUUGCCAGCGUAAACCAGCGUACUGUUACUGCAAAAGUCAGACAGACUGACUUGGAAAACUAAGGAAUGAAGAUGGAGGAAAGAUGUAAAAGCGUUGGAGUGAGAAUCAUGAAAAAGGGCUCAAGUCUUGGAUAUCUUUCCAGUGAUUUCUGUGGUCUUGGGCAAGAUCUACUCUGGACCUCUUCUUAUGUAAAAUGGAAAUUUUGAACUAGGUUUAUCGCCUGCUGGCUGCAUCAGCUUCAAGAAGCAAGAGCUUAUGCAUUUGCAUUCAAGGCAGGAUGAAUGGGCCAAGCCAAUUAAACAGAGGGCUUUUCUUUA